CCUACGGGAGGCAGCAGUGAGGAAUAUUGGUCAAUGGACGGAAGUCUGAACCAGCCAUGCCGCGUGCAGGAUGACGGCUCUAUGAGUUGUAAACUGCUUUUGUACGAGAACAAUAGUUCUUACGUGUAGGGAUUGGAAUGUAUCGUACGAAUAAGGAUCGGCUAACUCCGUGCCCGCAGCCGCGGUAAAACGGAGGGUUCGAGCGUUAUCCGGAUUUAGUGGGUUUAAAGGGUGCGUAGGCUGUCGGUUAAGUUAGAGGUAAAAAGUCGGGGGUUAACCCCGUGCCUGCCUCUGAUACUGUUCAACUAGAGAGCGGAUGAAGCAGGCGGAAUGAGUAGUGUAGCGGUGAAAUGCUUAGAUAUUACUCAGAACACCGAUUGCGCAGGCAGCUUGCUAAUCCGCAUCUGACGCUGAUGCACGAAAGCGUGGGUAGCGAACAGGAUUAGAUACCCUUGUAGUC
rnacentral:rRNA from 1 species